GGCAAGACUACUGGAGUGGGUUGCCAUUUCCUUCACCAGGACAUCUUCCCAACCCAGGGAUCAUACCCGAGUCUCCUGCAUUGGCAGGUGGAUUCUUUACCACUAAGCCACCAGGGAAGCCCUCAUCGGCAUUUAUAGACCCCCAGUUCCAAGAAGUUCUGAAAAUCUGGAAAUGUAUCAGCGAUUCCCUUUCCUGAGCCAGUGGGAACAUCAGAGAACAAAGCCGCCAGCCUGGCCCCAUGGUCCACAGGAGUACUUUUCGUGGGAGGUGGUGAUGCUGAUGAGGGUACAGAGAGAGAGAAGGAGCUGGAAUUCAGCCAGACCCCAAACCCAAGCCCCUUCUUCAGUCACACCCCCAGCGCUUCGGUCCUGAGCCAUCUGUGUCCAGGUCAGAUGGGAGGGGUGGUCUGCGCCCCUCCCUGGGUCCGCCCUUGUUAAAGCACAGUCACGGAACUAACACAAGUCAGGUGCGUUCAGUUUGGAAAUUCUGGGCCCCUGCGGCGCUGAGAGCCUGAGGGUCUGGCCUGCGCGUGGAGGGCUGGACUCUGCUGGCCGAGCCGGCCUCCCGGAGCCUGAAGUCAGGACUCUGGGGCCAGGCUUGGGGGGUGCUCCAGAAGCAACCCUGUAUCCUCUCCUCCACUAUUCAUGUUCCUAAGAAACAGCUCCCAAACCGAGGGCUGAAAGGAAGGGUCCGAAGAGAAGAGAGCAGACACCGUGGGAAGGCUGGCCGACAUCAUGUGGAUUCCAGUAAACUCCAGCUUUAGCUCGGGUCGGGUCGUGAGUUAAUUCCCGCCUCCCAGACUGGUUAAUCAGAGGCAGACCCCACGGGGCCCCUGUUGGUGUAACCCUUUUUCUUCUCUGGGGGGCAGGGGUGGAGCCAGAACCCGACGAGGGACAAGGAGCGACCGCCCAUGACAGGGUUCUCCCGGCAAACCGAGGGAGAUAGGGUUCAGCGUCAGAGCCCAGAGCCGAGAUCCUCACCCCUAAUUGCUGGGAACACGGGCCCCUUGCUGACCGCGCAUGCUCGUUUGCACCCCCACGCCUGUGCCGUGUUAUCCGCACGGGGUCAGGGAGGCCGGAGGAGGGCAGGCCUGGCCUGGGUUCUGCUGGCGUCUGCCCAUCCUUACCCCAAGGUGGGGUCUCCCUCCCGUCUCCCCGCAUUGCUCCUCCACGUCAGGGAGGGACCCGGCUCGGACUGCUCGCGCUACAUAGGUGACUUAAUUGUUUGCAUUUCUUUUCUGCUGCUGAUUCCCAAAGAGCUGGAGGCCCCAGGGGGAAUUCACCAUGCCAGAUCGUCCGUGGAUGGGCCCAGGGGCUGGUGCGCUCCUGACCGGCAUCCCCGGGGACCAGGGCACUGGAUAUGGGGCUGCCACAUUGGUAUUUGUGUGACUCCACUUUGUGGCACAAGAAGCCAUGAGGGCGUGAGGCCUGAGCCCUGCCGGCCUCUCCCCUCCUUCCCCCAGCGCCUUGGCCGAAUCCACUCCUCCGAGGACCAUCCUUCCUGCCACCGCGUCCUCACACCGUCAGUGGACGCAUGCUGCAGAGGGCAGAGAGCCACGUGGUUACCUGCAGUCAGGAGGACCGCGGGGCGGCCUCAUUGACCCAGCGUCCCUAGCUGUUGCUCCAGGGGAUCUUCCUGACCCAGAGAUGGAACCCUCAUUUCUUGUAUCUCCUGCAUUGGCAGAUCCUUGAUUCCAAGGUGAGGAGGUGGACCAGGUCUGGAUGCAGAAGGUGGGGAGGAGGAGAGCCACGCCCCCACCUGGACUGUCCACUGGCUCCGUGGCCGCUGUCCUCUGCCUCAUUCCUCCUGCUGGCCAUCGGGGCUGCUGUCUGCCUCUGAGACCCUCCCGAGGGUGAGAAAGGCCCCUCGGCAAAUACCUAUUUUCAGUUUCUCCCAGGCUUAACUCAGGCGGCACUAGAGGUGAUGCUGCCUCUUUGGAAUCCACUUCUGGGUGUGACUGUGCAGUGUGUCUGCUGAGAUGAGCAGAAAAAGCCAAAACCCACGUGCCUCUCAGGGUGGGAAAUGUGGGGAAAUAGCACUUGGGACCUGCCUUCAGGGGAGACCAGAGUGAUGGGGAAUGCAGACAGGAGUUUCCACCGCGCUGAAUGACACCCAUCUCCCGAACCCCCUUGGCUGCCCAGGGCCAGGAGGAUGGUGAGCUGACCAGUCAUGCCCAAACCCAGGGCAUCAGACUCCCAGGCCAGAGGUACUCACUAUGGUGAGAACAGAUUCCUUCCAGUACACGUCGUGUUUUCACACCCGUUGAAAUGUGAACAGUCUUAGAUUAGAUUAAGAUGCCAAGUAUUAUAAUUAGAUUGACUGUACUCUUUCUUGUCUGACAGCUUCUUUUGCUAGACUGUCCUGGCCCCGGGUCCCAGGGUUCCACAGGAAACAGAGGGAACAAAGGCCAGGCCUGGAGACACAAGUUCUUUUAUUUUUUUUAAGUUUUAUUGAAGUAAAAUUGAUUUACAGUGUUAAUUCCUCCUGUACAGUAAAGUGAUUCAGUAAUACAUGUAUAUAUUCUUUCUCAUAUUCUUUUUCAUUGUGGUGGUGUGUCAUCGGUUAUUGAAUCUAAUUCCCUGCUUUUUUCGUUUUUUAAAUUUUACUGAUGUAUAGGUGUUUUAUGGUGUUGUGUUCAUGGUUCUUGGUUUGAAAUGGAGACUUUGACAACAGAGCAGAAUAGUGCUUCCCCAUCAGGGGUAGUGUAGCCCUUGGCCUGAUGUUGGAGGGGUCCAGCAGAUGCUGGGGGCCUGAAAUCUGUCUGGCAGGGAGACGCAGGGCGCUGAGAAUGGGGGCUCCCCUGGGUCUGUCCCAUCACAGCCAUCCCCCUGUGCCAGUGCAUCUUCAGACUUAGUUCUGGGGACCCUGGAUGGACUCAAAGCACCCCCAGGAUGAUGGAGCCACACAGUGCCAACCUGCAGGUCGGAGAAAGGAGGGCAAACAAACCUUCAGCCGGGCGGAUGUAUCAUCCUGAGACUUUAACAAAGAAGCUAUUGACUCAAAACAUAGGAAUGGUUACUUGGACCUGUUUCAUUAUAUCAUGUCACCUUCUGCUCUUGGAGAUGUUACAAGGCUGUGAGGGACACGGUCCAGAGUCUAGUUUUACAAGUUCGUUGCUUAGAAGUGCAACUGUGUGUUGGCUCAGCCGAUGCACAAAUCUUUGGAGGCAUU